rnacentral:misc_RNA from 1 species
GAUGAAGAACGCAGCGAAAUGCGAUAAGUAAUGUGAAUUGCAGAAUUCAGUGAAUCAUCGAAUCUUUGAACGCACAUUGCGCCCGCCAGUAUUCUGGCGGGCAUGCCUGUUCGAGCGUCAUUUCAACCAUCAAGCCCCCGGCUUGUGUUGGGGACCUGCGGCUGCCGCAGGCCCUGAAAACCAGUGGCGGGCUCGCUAUCACACCGAGUGCAGUAGAUUACUCUUCGCUCAGGGCGUGUGGCGGGUUCCAGCCGUGAAACCCCCUACUUCUCAAGGUUGACCUCGGAUCAGGUAGGAAUACCCGCUGAACUUAAGCAUAUCAAUAAGCGGAGGA